ACUUUCGUGGUGUAAUGGUAGCACACUCGACGCGUAUUCGAGAGGUCCAGGUUCGAGUCCUGACGAGGACA
rnacentral:tRNA from 1 species